UGGGGAAUAUUGGGCAAUGGGCGAAAGCCUGACCCAGCAACGCCGCGUGAAGUAUGAAGGCCUUCGGGUUGUAAACUUCUUUGAUCAGGGAAGAAACAAAUGACGGUACCUGAAAAACAAGCCACGGCUAACUACGUGCCAGCAGCCGCGGUAAUACGUAGGUGGCGAGCGUUAUCCGGAUUUACUGGGUGUAAAGGGCGUGCAGGCGGGCUGAUAAGUCAGAUGUGAAAUCCCCGAGCUUAACUCGGGAACUGCAUCUGAUACUGUUGGUCUUGAGUGCUGGAGAGGAUAGUGGAAUUCCUAGUGUGACGGUAAAAUGCGCAGAUAGUAGGAGGAACACCAGUGGCGAAGGCGGCUAUCUGGACAGUAACUGACGCUGAGGCGCGAAAGCGUGGGUAGCAAACAGG
rnacentral:rRNA from 1 species